AAUAGGGUUGAUGUAUAAAAAGGGUUUAAUGCAUAUAUAAGCUAUCCCAUAAUUUUUGUUUAAUUAUUUGGAGUUGAAAAAGUAUUUUAUUCAAACAGAUAUAUAGCCCUGAAGUCAUUUAUAGGGGAAAUGUAUUUUUAUAUAUUUUAUUUUGAAGAGAAACUACUUCCAAAAGUUGUAUCAUGGUAGAACAUGAUUUUAUAAAUUUUCUGGAAUUUAUUUGGACCAAUUUGGAGUUGAAACUCAAAAGAUAUCAAAGAAAUGGGAAAAACAGAAAAAGAAAAGGUCUAAAAGCAAAAAAAAAGGGGUAAACGGACCGGCCCGGCCGAAUUGGGCCGAACCGGCCCAACUCCCCCGCGCGCGCCACAGCCCAGCUGGCCCAGCCGCCCGCUCGCGCACGCCCGAGCCACCGACAGGUGGGGCCCACCUGUCGGGGUCGUCCCCUACCUCGGGCAAGCGCCCAAAAUCGCGCCGCCGUCCCCGCGCGUGACCGCCGCGCGCCAUCACCGGGAUCCGCUCCUCCGCCUUCCAUUUUCACAUCCGAGC
rnacentral:lncRNA from 1 species